GAUGAACGCUGGCGGCGUGCCUAAUACAUGCAAGUCGAGCGAACGGACGAGAAGCUUGCUUCUCUGAUGUUAGCGGCGGACGGGUGAGUAACACGUGGAUAACCUACCUAUAAGACUGGGAUAACUUCGGGAAACCGGAGCUAAUACCGGAUAAUAUUUUGAACCGCAUGGUUCAAAAGUGAAAGACGGUCUUGCUGUCACUUAUAGAUGGAUCCGCGCUGCAUUAGCUAGUUGGUAAGGUAACGGCUUACCAAGGCAACGAUGCAUAGCCGACCUGAGAGGGUGAUCGGCCACACUGGGACUGAGACACGGUCCAGACUCCUACGGGAGGCAGCAGUAGGGAAUCUUCCGCAAUGGGCGGAAGCCUGACGGAGCAACGCCGCGUGAGUGAUGAAGGUCUUCGGAUCGUAAAACUCUGUUAUUAGGGAAGAACAUAUGUGUAAGUAACUGGGCACAUCUUGACGGUACCUAAUCAGAAAGCCACGGCUAACUACGUG
rnacentral:rRNA from 1 species